UAGGAAUUUUGGGCAAUGGGCGGAAGCCUGACCCAGCAACGCCGCGUGGGUGAUGAAGGCCCUCGGGUCGUAAAGCCCUUUUCCCAGGGAAGAUAGUGACGGUACCUGGGGAAUCAGCCCCGGCUAACUCCGUGCCAGCAGCCGCGGUAAUACGGAGGGGGCUAGCGUUGUUCGGAAUUACUGGGCGUAAAGCGCGCGUAGGCGGCUUUGUAAGUUAGAGGUGAAAGCCCGGAGCUCAACUCCGGAAUUGCCUUUAAGACUGCAUCGCUAGAAUCAUGGAGAGGUGAGUGGAAUUCCGAGUGUAGAGGUGAAAUUCGUAGAUAUUCGGAAGAACACCAGUGGCGAAGGCGACUCACUGGACAUGUAUUGACGCUGAGGUGCGAAAGCGUGGGGAGCAAA
rnacentral:rRNA from 1 species